rnacentral:rRNA from 1 species
UGGGGAAUUUUGCACAAUGGAGGAAACUCUGAUGCAGCGACGCCGCGUGAGUGAUGAAGAUCUUCGGAUUGUAAAACUCUGUCCUUAGUGAAGAUAAUGACAGUAACUAAGAAGCAAGCCCUGGCUAAAUACGUGCCAGCAGCCGCGGUAAUACGUAUGGGGCAAGCGUUGUCCGGAAUUAUUGGGCGUAAAGGGUACGUAGGCGGUUUAAUAAGCCCUAAUUAAAAGGCUAUGGCUCAACCAUAGUAUGGUUAGGAAACUGUUGAACUUGAGUAGAUGAGGGGAAAGUGGAAUUCCAUGUGUAGCGGUGAAAUGCGUAGAUAUAUGGAGGAACACCAAUGGCGAAGGCAACUUUCUGGAAUCAAACUGACGCUGAGGUACGAAGGCGUGGGGAGCAAACAGG